rnacentral:rRNA from 1 species
UACAGGGGGUGCAAACGUUGCUCGGAAUCAUUGGGCGUAAAGCGCACGUAGGCGGUUCGUUAUGUCGGAUGUGAAAGCCCUUGGCUUAACCGAGGAAGUGCAUCCGAAACUGGCGAGCUAGAGUACUAAAGAGGAUCGCGGAAUUCCCGGUGUAGAGGUGAAAUUCGUAGAUAUCGGGAGGAACACCGGUGGCGAAGGCGGCGAUCUGGGUAGAUACUGACGCUGAGGCGCGAAAGCGUGGGGAGCAAACAGG